rnacentral:rRNA from 1 species
CGUAGGGACCGAGCGUUGUCCGGAUUCAUUGGGCGUAAAGAGCUCGUAGGCGGCUGCUCAAGUCGAAUGUGAAAACUCGAGGCUCAACCUCGAGCCUGCAUUCGAUACUGGGCGGCUAGAGUCUGGUAGGGGGAUCUGGAAUUCCUGGUGUAGCGGUGGAAUGCGCAGAUAUCAGGAGGAACACCGGUGGCGAAGGCGGGGUCCUGGGCCAGUACUGACGCUGAGGAGCGAAAGCGUGGGGAGCAAACAGGAUUAGAUACCCUGGUAGUCCACGCCGUAAACGAUGGGCGCUAGGUGUGGGAGGUCAUCGACUCCUUCCGUGCCGCAGCUAACGCAUUAAGCGCCCCGCCUGGGGAGUACGGCCGCAAGGCUA